rnacentral:rRNA from 1 species
CAAGGAUGAAAGACGGUUUCGGCUGUCACUURCAGAKGGAMMCRCGGCGCAUUAGCUAGUUGGUGGGGUAAKGGCUCSCAARGSGACGAUGCGUARCCGRCCUGAGAGGGUGAUCGGCCACACUGGGRCUGAGACACGGCCCARACUCCUACGGGAGGCAGCAGUAGGGAAUCUUCCGCAAUGGASGAAAGUCUGACGGAGCAACGCCGCGUGAGUGAUGAAGGUUUUCGGAUCGUAAAGCUCUGUUGUUAGGGAAGAACAAGUGCGAGAGUAACUGCUCGCACCUUGACGGUACCUAACCAGAAAGCCACGGCUAACUACGUGCCAGCAGCCGCGGUAAUACGUAGGUGGCAAGCGUUGUCCGGAAUUAUUGGGCGUAAAGGGCUCGCAGGCGGUUUCUUAAGUCUGAUGUGAAAGCCCCCGGCUCAACCGGGGAGGGUCAUUGGAAACUGGGAAACUUGAGUGCAGAAGAGGAGAGUGGAAUUCCACGUGUAGCGGUGAAAUGCGUAGAGAUGUGGAGGAACACCAGUGGCGAAGGCGACUCUCUGGUCUGUAACUGACGCUGAGGAGCGAAAGCGUGGGGAGCGAACAGGAUUAGAUACCCUGGUAGUCCACGCCGUAAACRAURARUGSUAAGUGUUAGGGGGUUUCCGCCCCUUAGUGCUGCAGCUAACGCAUU